AGUGGUUGCAAGGCAACCAGUGGAGACUCCCCUUCUGCUUUCAGUGUUAUCCAAGAUAUGAGCGGGAUUUAGCUAAACUCCGUAAAAAGGGGAUGGGCUGUAUUAAUAGGAGGCUGAUUGACGGGCUGUUUGGCCUCCAGCGGAGAGGGAUUGUUGUCUGGCUGUGGGGACGAGAUCAGAGGUCACAGUCCAGAGAGCCUGAGACAGAAACCAGAUCACAACAGAAGGCCAAUUAUCAUGCAUUGUUGCCGGGCUCCUGCUGGGACUCCGCCUGCACUUUCACCAGCAGGUCACAGUGAAAACUCUGGACCUCCAACAUUUACAACACAUGCAACUUUCACUGAAUGAUUGGAGUCGACACUAUUACGCCCACAGCUGUUGACUCGGAGGUUAUGAACCUGUCAGAGAGAAGACAGGACAGGCAGGACAGAGAGAGGAUGACAUGCAGCAAUGGGGUACGGACUCAGCCUUAAUG